GAAAAGAAGUUCGGAUAACGAGUGAGAACGAAAGGGAAUCAAUAUCAAUCGCACAAUUGUUUGGAAUGACGGGCGAGUGAGCAGGGCAACAGGAAAGCGAACGGUUCAAACUUCAUGUCCCAAUGCGUCGAUAGUCCGGUCCACGGUUUUUCCACUUUCGACCAGGUACGAUCGGGAAUUCUUCGGAGACUCCAAUUCACUGUUGCAAGUGGCCGUCUACGUUGCACCGGCGCUGUUCCUGCAAUUGAAAAAGUUUGUUCAGCGAAUUAACAAUGGCCGACGUACGACGAGAAUAAUGCAGUAUUGUGAAAGUCAUCUUUUCAACGUGAUGCGAAUUUAUUCAGACGAUCAGAACUGCACGUUAAGCGAAAUGUUAAGUAUUGACUGUUCGCUAUUUUAAUUCCGAAACUCUUCGAGAAACACCUGCGAUCUGAAACAUCCGGCAGAAAAAAGUCAAUAUCCUCUGUAUCUAAUGACGUUUUUAUGCUCUCUUGAUGGCCAGUGAGACUGAGACUUUAGUGUAUCGACGUGCUCGGACUUACUUCCGUAGCUGCUAUGCGGUAUCUUCGGGAAAUGGAGAUAUGCAGAUUAGAUGAAUAACAAUUUUGCGUGUUCGUGACCUCCGCCGGCGAAUGGAGGAUGCGAUGCGUAAUCAAGAGAUACUCGACAUAAAUAACACGAAUAACUGUCACGAUUCUUGCAGAUGUAAAAUUACUAUAUUAUCAUAAUUUUCCAUAGAAAAAAUACAAUUCUCGUACUAU
rnacentral:misc_RNA from 1 species